GAUUCCCGACUCUGGCUGGCGGCGGGUGUGCUCGUAUGUGCUCUCCUUGGGGCAUGGGUCUGGUGAGCCAUGGAUGGAUAUAAAAUUACCAGUAACUGGGUGAUGGCCAGAAAAUCCUGGCUGUUGAUAGUGUUGUGGAUGGCUGUUUCUCUUUCAUCAGCAGACACAGGAUUCUUGGAGUCUAUAGAGGUCCAGCCAGACCCCACAGAAUCUCCCUCCACAGGUAAGUCUUAAUAACUUCGCAAUUAAUCUUGAUUGCAGGUAGCAGGCAUUUACGAGCUCUUUGUUGCUCGUUAACAACUUUGUUGCCGACUUUUUAAUAAUCUCGCCUCUCCCCCGCCUGGGCUUGUUUGCAGUCGAGAGCCGUUGGUGAAAGUUUAACAGCUGAUGAUGAGAAUUCUGAUAGCAGGUAAACUACCUAGAAGUAGCUAAAAACGUCAUAUACAAAAAUGUAUUUAUUGAAAGAUCAAGAAUUAUCUGCGGCCAGGUUUUGGCUAAUAAGUUUCGGGUUUGGAACGAGAUUCGAUGAACUGGAAUAGAAAUCGCGGCAACUCCAAUAAUGAUCAUCUCAGGGAUGGAGGAAGUCAUGCAAAAGAAGCUCCAGUGAAAUUGAACAAGAGAAUCAAGAAAUAUCCCUGAAGUUCCAAAACUUUUUGAAAAUCUGAGACGUCUUCUUGACAAAAUCCUUGAUACAAUCCCAGCGGGUGACUCGAGUCUUUAUAGCGGAGAUCUUUUGUCUGUCAGAGGAAAAGGAUUUCGGGCAUUCCUUGCAGAGAGAUUCAUAGGAGAGGCAUGCGGGGGAAUAGGACCUGAAGGAGGCGCGCGCGGAGCAGAAAGCAAGACGCGGUCCUACGGGGAUGGGGGAGGAUAGCGGAAAAUAAGGGGGGGGGGUAGGAUAGGGGAAUAUGGAGUGCGGAUGAACAGUCCCCUUCAGAGAAAUGGGUUUGGGCGAUAUAGGUAAGUGCGGCGGUUCCAUCGAGAUAAAUCCAGAGGCACAAACACCAAAUUCCUCUAUAGUGCGCCAAUCCGGUCAGAUCAAGAAAGUCAGUGCGCGACUCUUGGUAACAAGUCUAGCAUAGAUCACAGUGCAAACCGAAAAAAAAAAAAAAAAAAAAAAAAAAAAAAAAAAAAAAAAAAAAAAAAAAAAAAAAAAAAAA